AUUGAACGCUGGCGGCAUGCCUUACACAUGCAAGUCGAACGGCAGCACGGGGGCAACCCUGGUGGCGAGUGGCGAACGGGUGAGUAAUGCAUCGGAGCGUGCCCAGUAGUGGGGGAUAACCAGUCGAAAGACUGGCUAAUACCGCAUACGACCCAAGGGUGAAAGCGGGGGACCGUAAGGCCUCGCGCUAUUGGAGCGGCCGAUGUCUGAUUAGCUAGUUGGCGGGGUAAGAGCCCACCAAGGCGACGAUCAGUAGCUGGUCUGAGAGGACGACCAGCCACACUGGGACUGGGACACGGCCCAGACUCCUACGGGAGGCAGAAGUGGGGAAUUUUGGACAAUGGGCGCAAGCCUGAUCCAGCCAUGCCGCGUGCGGGAAGAAGGCCUUCGGGUUGUAAACCGCUUUUGGCAGGAACGAAACGGCGCAGGCCAAUACCUUGCGCUAAUGACGGUACCUGCAGAAUAAGCACCGGCUAACUACGUGCCAGCAGCCGCCGUAACAC
rnacentral:rRNA from 1 species